UAUGUUGGUCAUGGUAAGGUUUUUCUAUCGGCUACAGGAAAAGUAAAUGUGCACAUGUUCUGGUCACUGAACUGUCUGAUCGAUGUGGUUGGCCAUGUCUAGUGAACGCUAAGCUUUAAGCUUUAGGUUAUGAUGUCACCAUCAACCCCACUCCUUACCCAACCCAAACAAUAAACCAUCCUAAGUUAAAGAUCCUCGUGGUUUUGGAACAAUUACUGUCACUCAUUCUUUGGUAGAAGAAAUACUUUCCGUUUUAGAGAUGGAAAAAAAUUGUAGGAAGACAGUUUUUGAAAUUGUGAAAGGCAUAGUCUAUAUCUCUUUGGUGCCUUAGGGGUGGUCAGAUGCACACUUUUAUAUAUACAUAUAUAUGCUGUAUAUAUUUAUAUAUAUUAUAUAUAAAAUAUUGAAAGCUUGGGUUCGCAGUUUCUCAAACACUAUAUAAAAGCAAACUGUCUGCCAUCACCACUGUUCUUAUUUACACAGUAAUGAUACAUUAAUGGGGCAUCUUGCUAUUUUUCAUGUUCUAUAUACAAUUCUCAUUAAGAUCAGAGAGAAAUUAGCUAGGAAGCUGUUUGAGAAGAACUUCCAUUUUUUACAAUAGGAAUUAGGAAUUACUUGAUGUUAUAGAAUUGACCUUGAGUUUGGACCUGAGCUGGAGUAGAAAGUCUGUAUCUGACGUAUCACGGGGAAUGUAGCUAGAAAGGUGAGGGAAAGAAACACUCUUUCUUUACUCCACACAAAUAUGAAAGACAAAUAUGUUUAAGCGAGGUGCUUAAAGCUUUGUCUAAGUUGAAAAAAUUAAGUACAAUUAUACCUUUACAUUUUAGUGGUUUUGAAUUGAGUUUGUUUAGUAUCUAGGCUGGGAGGCAGAGCUGGUAUUUUGUUGUUUCUCUUUUUCCCAGCUAUGCUUUUCCUGGUAGACUUGACCAAACCAUGUUACCAUGCCGUGCCUAGUUUACCUGUUUAUAAAAUGGUCUAACAAUUCCUACCUCACAGGGAUGUUGUGAGGCUACGUCCAUUUGGUCCAUUUGUUCUCUCUCUCUCUCUCUCUCUCUCUCUCUCUCUCUCUCUCUCUCUCUCUCUCCUCCCCUUCCUCCCUCCCUCCCUCCCUCCCUUGUUCUUUGUUUGUCCAGCACUUUGUAACCAUGAAAGGAAAAGGGACGUUAGGAGCAUACAGUAUUCAUGGACUAACACGGUAUCUCAAAGUUUUAUUUUCUAGUAAGGAAAUGGCAUCUGACUGUAUAUAAAUAUAACCUUGUAUUUGGAAAUGGUAAAUGGGUUUAUAUUUUCAAAUAUCUCAACAAUCACAUCAUUUGACCAAAGAAUAAUUUAAGGCACAAAGUAUAGAGAUAUUUUUAACUUAUAUUUUCGUCAACAGCUUGGUUUUAAUAACCAUAGUUCUCAGUGAAUAAAAAUCUUCAGACUGAUUUUGGCCAAAUAUGUCAACUUUGUAAUAUGAGUGACAAAGUAUCUGGGGUCUAAGACUCACUUUUAGCACACACUUGUACUUCCCUUGGCAUAUCUGGUUGAGUUAAUAGUGAUUGUUUUCUUCAGUGUAGCAGGCACCCAUCUGAAAAUAUAUUUCAAGUGAUAAUGUAUUUUGUUCAAUAAUAAGAAAUAAGAUCAUCUUGUGUCCUUUGAUCUCAUGAAGUGAUUCCUUCUCAACAACUACUAUUAAAACAUUUCUUUCAGAAUAGUUUAUAUGGUCUGGCUUAAUACACAUUACUUGUUCAUAAGGAAUCUCUCUGCUCAUGUAUUUGUCCCAUUGAUUGCUCUGUGUUAUCAAGUUUCAAAAGUACAUAGUUAUUGUAAACACUUUCUUUGAUUUGGAAAUGAGUACAGGUCUGAGAGACUGGUCAACUUUCGGAAUUUAAAGUUUGCAGAGAAUAGCUUAAAGAUUUGGAUUAUAGGCAAGAAAGAGAAAUUAUUAAUGAAAGGGGUCUUCUAAAGACCGAACCUUGGAAGACAGUCAUUUGAAGUCAUUUGAAACCUUCAUCCUGACAUCUAUUUCCAGUGGACAUCAAACAAACCUGAUCCCAUAAACUCAAAGGAGGAAGCAGGAGGUUGUUUGUAUCUGCUGCUUUGGAUAAGCGGUUUCUUGGGAUUUUGUAGGAUAACCCCUGUUAGUCGUAAGAAUGCCUGCAGCCGGUAGACCCACAGCACAACAUCUUCAUCUGAGCACUUAUUAGGAAAUAUGUGUGAAACACUAACACUCGAUUUUGUUCAUUUCUGAUUCACUUUUUAAAGGAAGAUAAGUUUAACAAGUGAUUUGGAUGAGGCUCGUAAGUCAUUUACCAGAGAAGUGUCUCAGUGCCAGAUUCAUACACUUGUGUCUCUCUGUCAAUAUACCCAGAUGAAGGCAUUAGGACUAUCAGUGUCCACAAUCCCUUCCCAAACAAGAGGCCAAUCGGAAGAGUAUAUGGCAGGUUAAAUUAAACCAGAAGUAAUGACCUAAUUACAAAAAAGGGAAUGACAAAUGAUAAUAAAGAUCUCGUAAGAAAUGUAAUAUGUAAAUUAUAUCUCGCUUGAUGAUGUAAAAUAUACAUUGUUUGUGCUAGAAUAGAAAUUAUUUCUUUUCAAUAAAAUGAAGGACUGAUAAUACCAUGCCUUUUGUUAUAAU
rnacentral:lncRNA from 1 species